AGGAGAACAAGGAGGACGAGGAUUUGUGCUCGGUAUAACCCGAGGUGGUUAGCAGUGGUCGUUGGUGGUGGUUGGAGGUAGUCGAGCUGGACGAGGAGAACAAGGUGGACAAGGAGGAUGAGGGGAUUUGUGCUCGGUAACUCUGCACAUACUUUCGAUCUCUUCGCUAUAUUGGUACACGACGAGUGCACCUCGUUUCGUGGGCUCCAUCCGAUUGGACUCAGCAACACUAAUUCGUCGCCUAAUUCUCGGAAGUGCAAUAACAAAAAUUAAACGUGAAAUAGUUGUAGCUAUUAUGAGAAAGGAUAAGUUAGGUUAAGGAUCUCUGGAUAGGUGCACUCUGGUUUAAUGACAUGAAACUGCAUAUUGAAGCGUUCGCUGAAACUGUACUUAUGACUAACUCCUUGAAUGCGGGAGGAUUACAAUACAAGGAGGCGUUUGGACAGCAUUGCAGCGCUGCGACAUUCUUGAAUAACGAACAAAGUACAUCGGAUAACCAUCGGAAAUACAACUUGUUUAAAUUCUUCCUGAUACCUGCUUCCACAACUGACACAUAAUUCAUAUCUAUUCUAAUGCUCGAUACAAAGCAUUGGUUCUGCAAGCUAUUGAAUCGUCUUAUAUCAGAUGAGAUAAGUCGGAACGCAUGAUAGAUGAUCAAAAAUGAUAACACAAAAUAAUAUGCACGUGAAAAAACACACAGGCCUCACUAGCAUACAGUGAGAAUAUGCACGUCCGACUCCUUAGCUGUGGGUCCUACGAUGUUCUGGAUGUCGUGAUUUUGACGAUUCUGAAUGAUGUUGGAAUCGAUUCUUGAAUGCAUUAUUUCGACGUAAUUUUGCGAAAGGAAUCGUUUGGGCGCGGUCCAAAUACGCUGCGCGCAAGAAAUCCAGAAUUGCAGCCAAAAGCAUCCGAUUCCUACCGAGUUUUCAGAUGGAUGGGAAAGGAAAAUUAUAAAUUCACAGUGACAAAGUUUUUGUUUCAGUUCAGUUACAGUUUAUUCAAUGCGCCUUAAUUCUAAUACAAGUGUUCGCGUGACAGUGUACGGUACUUCAACAGGUUGCCUAAUAGUAGUUAUUAUAAAGUUAAAGACACAGAGAAUAUAAGGAAAGAGAAGUACAAUGUAAGUUGCUUUGAGCAGAAUGCGUGAAUGGUUAUAUGGAUAUGAGGUAUAUGUUGUAAAGUUCAAGUUCUGAGCUAUACA